UAUUUAUAUUAACCCUUAGCAGGUAUCGUGGGUCAAAUUUGACCCAGAAGCGAACAUUUUCGGUUAUAAUUCUUUAAAUAUUUUAUGCAACGACUGUGCGCUUCUAAGUAUUCUCAGUGCGUCGCUAGCUGCAGCGGGGUGUUGAUGUGCAGAACUGUGACUAUCUUAGGAGCGGAGACAAAUCGAGGAGUUGAUGAACGACUUAAGUGAUGAUUUGGAAUUGAAAAAUGAAAGAAUACCAAAUGUAAACCAACUUUGUGACGACGAAAUCAUCAGCGAUCGAGACAAUCCCUAAUCUGUUAGUUGCUUAGAAGACAGUGUAUUUGGAGUAAGUUCUGACGACAGUGAAAACGAAGAGGAGAUACGAGAAUAAUAGAAAAUAUACGAGGAACGAAAAUACGAGAGAUGAGAGUGAAGAAGAUGAGGAUGAUAGUUGAUGGUAGAAGUCAUUUUGGUUUUGGUUGUCAUUUUCUUUAUUUUAUGCUGAUUUCAGAAGCAAUUUGUUUUUUUGUUAUAAUAAAGAUAUUAGAAGUGCCAUAAAUAUAUUUUAGUUAAAGUUUUUCUAACAUUUCAAUUUUUUUUUUAUGUUUUAAGUUCACAUUAACCAAAAAGUGCCAAAAAAUAAGGUUAUUUACAAAUGUGUGUAAAACAUGAUAUUUUUUUUUAUAUUCUAAUAUUAAAUAAGGUUAUUUUGUAAAAAAAUAUUUUUUUAUUUCUUUUCUAACCAUAUUUUAUACAAAUAAUAAAAAAUCUACGUUCUACAACAGAUUGUUUGGUAUGGGUAGAAUUUGACCCACGAUACCGGUAGUGUUGCCAAAAAAGGCGAUACCAGCUAAGGGUUAAGA